GACGAACGCUGGCGGCGUGCUUAACACAUGCAAGUCGAACGGAAAGGCCCUGCUUUUGUGGGGUGCUCGAGUGGCGAACGGGUGAGUAACACGUGAGUAACCUGCCCUUGACUUUGGGAUAACUUCAGGAAACUGGGGCUAAUACCGGAUAGGAGCUCCUGCUGCAUGGUGGGGGUUGGAAAGUUUCGGCGGUUGGGGAUGGACUCGCGGCUUAUCAGCUUGUUGGUGGGGUAGUGGCUUACCAAGGCCUUGACGGGUAGCCGGCCUGAGAGGGUGACCGGCCACAUUGGGACUGAGAUACGGCCCAGACUCCUACGGGAGGCAGCAGUGGGGAAUAUUGCACAAUGGGCGGAAGCCUGAUGCAGCAACGCCGCGUGCGGGAUGACGGUCUUCGGGUUGUAAACCGCUUUCGCCUGUGACGAAGCGUGAGUGACGGUAAUGGGUAAAGAAGCACCGGCUAACUACGUG
rnacentral:rRNA from 1 species